rnacentral:rRNA from 1 species
UACGUAGGUGGCAAGCGUUGUCCGGAUUUACUGGGCGUAAAGAGCGCGCAGGCGGUCGUUCAAGUCGCGUGUGAAAGCCCCCGGCUCAACUGGGGAGGGUCACGCGAUACUGAUCGACUCGAAGGCAGGAGAGGGAAGUGGAAUUCCCGGUGUAGUGGUGAAAUGCGUAGAUAUCGGGAGGAACACCAGCGGCGAAGGCGGCACUCUGGGCUGGAACUGACGCUGAGGAGCGAAAGCGUGGGUAGCAAACAGG